rnacentral:misc_RNA from 1 species
GGAGGUGGUGGUAGUGUUAGUGUGUGUGUGUGUAUUCCUGGGGUGGAGGAAGAGAAAGGAGAAGAUAAAAUCCGCUCCAUUCAAAUGUUAUCAAAGUGCGAGAGAGAGAGAGAGAGAGAGAGAACAGCGAAUUCAGUCACAUAGUAAAACGACUAUAAAACCCGACCCGACGACAUAAGUCGGGUGAAAUAGUCUUUAAUAAUGCAGCCACCACGAUUCCAGCUGAUUAAGGAACGACCAAAUGCUUAUUACACAUGACAGCAUCACUCUUGGUAACUGAUGGAAAAUUCUUAGAUUGUUCCAAAACUUCUCUAUGCUACAAUGGAAGUACCAAGUUCUUGGAUAGAUACUUGGAACAAUCCAAGAAUCUUUCCUUUCAUCAUACCAUUCCUACAGUGCCUGAUCUACUACGCCCUCGUCUUGCUAGUCCACGUUGGCAUAUUUAAACUCAAUUCCAUAUUCACUCCCAUCUGGCUGCGACCAAUUCUCUCAGAUUUCUUCUGCACCAUUACGUCAUGUACAAUUUCGUUUCAACAUGGAAUACUACGGUUCUAUUAUGGCAACACCACCUAUGUCCUCAUGUCAGGAUUCAUGGCUUUUCUCUUCAGGAAUAUUUUCAAAGACUCAGCACCUUCGGUUCCAGCAAAUGUACUGAAAUACAUGAAAGAGGUCAUUUCUUUCAGUGAUUUACUUCUCAGGGUCUUCACACAGAUCUUUGCCAUUCCAGCCAUUGCACUUGUCGUUCACAUGAUCUGGCUUUUAGAAAUCAUGCCAGAGCACACACAGCAACUGUCUCAAAGAACUUGUGCCAGUGACCUUAAUGUUGCGGUCGCCAUGGGGUUUCUCAUUGAAGGAGGGUCCAUUGCGCUUGAGACUUGGUUAAGCCAAAGUCGAAUCACCAUUUAUGAUUCUGUAGAUUCGUGUCUAAAGCUUUUUACUGGACCAAUAAUGGUCGUUUUAGGUAUUCACCAUACUGGAAUGUAUAUGAACCCAACACUAGCAUCGGUGAUGAAGUUUGGAUGUAAAGGCACCACCCCUUGGCAGCAUGUGUUGGUCUAUUGGUUGGCACCGAUAUUGGGCUGUAUUCUUGGAGUGAAAAUAUUUAACUAUCACCAGAAGAGGCUGGCUUCAUCCACUGUUGAUGUUUCUUGGACAGAUUCAAUGAGAAAUGAGAAUGGAGACAAGUUUAAAAGAUUCCCAAGACGGAAACUUAAAGGAAGAAGCACAACAAGGAAACGAUAACUGCUUCGACAUGCGUGUCACCUUACGUGUUUGGAUAUUUAGUCUCAGUCUGCCAGUCUGUCUGUUUGUCUGCAUGUGUGUGUGUGUGUGUGUG